rnacentral:rRNA from 1 species
AUACCCUCGGGAAACUGAGGCUAAUAGUGUAUACCAUACCACCACUGGAAUGAGUGGUAUGCCAAACGCUCCGGCGCCGAAGGAUGUGGCUGCGGCCGAUUAGGUAGACGGUGGGGUAACGGCCCACCGUGCCAAUAAUCGGUAUGGGUCAUGAGAGUGAGAACCCAGAGACGGAAUCUGAGACAAGAUUCCGGGCCCUACGGGGCGCAGCAGGCGCGAAACCUUUACACUGC